rnacentral:rRNA from 1 species
GACGAACGCUGGCGGCGUGCUUAACACAUGCAAGUCGAACGAAGUGGCGAACGGGUGAGUAAUACGUGGGUAACCUGCCCUCCUUUUUGGGAUAAGCCUUGGAAACGGGGUCUAAUACCGAAUAAAGGGGGAUGGGCUCGCGGCCUAUCAGCUUGUUGGUGGGGUGAUGGCCGACCAAGGCGGUGACGGGUAGCCGGCCUGAGAGGGUGACCGGCCACAUUGAGACGGAGCUACGGCCCAGACUCCUGCGUGAGGAAGCAGUGGGGGAUAUUGCACAAUGGGCGAAGGCCUGAUGCAGCGACGCCUCGUGGGGGAUGAAGGCUUUCGGGUUGUAAACCUCUUUCGGUAUCGUACGGGUAGGUAGAGAAGAAGCGCCGGCUAACUACGUGCCAGCAGCCGCGGUAAUAC